AUUGAACGCUGGCGGCAGGCUUAACACAUGCAAGUCGAGCGAGCGGCGGACGGGUGGGUAAUGUCUGUGACACUGCCUGAUGGAGGGGGAUAGCUAAUGGAAACGGUAGCUAAUACCGCAUACCAUCAGAUGUGCACAGAUGGGAUGAGCUAGGAGGUGUGGUAAUGGCUCACCUAGGCGACGAUCCCUAUCUGGUCUGAGAGGAUGACCAGCCAAACUGGAACUGAGACACGGUCCAGACUCCUACGGGAGGAAGCAGUGGGGAAUAUUGCACAAUGGGCGAAAGCCUGAUGCAGCCAUGCCGCGUGUGUGAAGAAGGCCUUCGGGUUGUAAAGCACUUUAAGCUAGGAGGCGUUACUCGCAGAAUAAGCACCGGCUAACUCCGUGCCAGCAGCCGCGGUAAUUC
rnacentral:rRNA from 1 species